UACAGAGGGUGCAAGCGUUAAUCGGAAUUACUGGGCGUAAAGCGCGCGUAGGUGGUUUGUUAAGUUGGAUGUGAAAUCCCCGGGCUCAACCUGGGAACUGCAUUCAAAACUGACUGACUAGAGUAUGGUAGAGGGUGGUGGAAUUUCCUGGUGUAGCGGUGAAAUGCGUAGAUAUAGGAAGGAACACCAGUGGCGAAGGCGGAGUCUCUGGACAUUUCCUGACGCUGAGGCACUGAAAG
rnacentral:rRNA from 1 species